AGAGCGAACGCUGGCGGCAGGCUUAACACAUGCAAGUCGAGCGCCCCGCAAGGGGAGCGGCAGACGGGAGAGUAACACGUGGGAACGUACCUUUCGGUUCGGAACAACCCAGGGAAACUUGGGCUAAUACCGGAUACGUCCGUAAGGAGAAAGAUUUAUCGCCGAAAGAUCGGCCCGCGUCUGAUUAGCUAGUUGGUGAGGUAACGGCUCACCAAGGCGACGAUCAGUAGCUGGUCUGAGAGGAUGAUCAGCCUCACUGGGACUGAGACACGGCCCAGACUCCUACGGGAGGCAGCAGUGGGGAAUCUUGCGCAAUGGGCGAAAGCCUGACGCAGCAACGCCGCGUGAGGGACGAAGGCCUUCGGGUUGUAAACCUCUUUCAGCAGGGACGAUUGUGACGGUACCUGCAGAAGAAGCCCCGGCCAACUACGUGCCAGCAGCCGC
rnacentral:rRNA from 1 species